GUGCUCACUUUGGCAGCACAUAUACUAAAAUUGGAACUAUACAGAGAAAAUUAGCAUGCCCCCUAUACAUGGGUGACAUGCAAAUUCAUGAAGUAUUCCAUAUUUUA
ensembl:snRNA U6 U6 spliceosomal RNA